CGGAAGUAGACUGUACAUUAUAUAUUAUUUACCAUUGUGCGACUAACGGCAGCGGCGACAAACUGCAGAAGCCGAUGAUGUAUACGUGCGACUCGCUGUUAGGGGAACUGACGUUUUCACACAUUCAGAUUUUGCAAGCCGUCCCGUCUUCAUUUCGAUCCAAUCCAACUUCGUUAAAAUCACCUGUUCAACUCGACAUCUCAACUGCAAUCAAGCCACGUCUACCAAACUUACUUACAUUCAACGCCUACAUUCCAAUGAUGACAAACCGACUUUCAUCGCUCUCCUAAGACUUGAGUUUAAACACAGCAACUACGCAACUCAAGCUGAGAACGUCCAAAAAACAGGUCAUUUUUUUUCUUUUUCCAAGAGGAAGUAAUGUGGCGAUAUAGAGUCUUUUCAUCGUUACCAUUUAUACAGCGUGAAUUAUACCUAUCUUGUUUUAUCUUCGUGUAAUUAUUAUUUUAUCUUGUCUACUACUUUUGUGAUUUUUAUACAGUGUAUUACGAAGUUUUGACAAAUUAAAUAACGUGUGAACUAA